UUAGUAAAAUGCUACGGGUGCCAAAUGUGGAGUAGGAUCUGUUCAAUUUGCGGACCACGUGAUAUCAACCCCGGCUUUUUAUUACUCAGUCUUUUGGUUGUUAGGGUAUGUGUCUUUUUCGUCGUUUUUUGUUUUUUAUCAUGGCGUUUUCAGUUUGUUUUCGAUUAAUUGUCUUGAGAUGAGUUGUUUUUAAUCAACCUUCAACACAGAUUCCUCGACGCAAACAGACUAGCAUGAAACAGGUUAAUCUCUAAAUAAGUUUUUCAACCCUUCAGAAGUACAUAAUUUUAUUUAUUUAAAUAGACUUUUUUUCGCAUAUCUUUGUUUAAUGUGUUGUCA
rnacentral:lncRNA from 1 species